rnacentral:misc_RNA from 1 species
AUAUUUUGAAUGAAGUAUAUUCAUAAUAUGUUAUCAGACAAAUGUUGUUAAAGAUAUAGGUUGAUAUUUGUGAAGGGAAAGAGUUGCCUCUCUCCCAACAAACAUUGCACACAAGGUGGAUAUGGAUUUUUAAAGAGUGCCAUAAAACACUCAUUGUGAAUGAUCCUUCCACAGGUUCACCUAUGGAAA